rnacentral:snoRNA from 1 species
GGGCCAUCCUGUUGAGUUUCGUUUCUUCCCCAGUGAAGAGAACACGGGAAUGUCCUAGAGCAUCAAAGUAGUGCUGUGCCCGACCUUUUAAAGCCAAAAUGGUGGCUCAUUCCACUACUGAUGUUU